GCCCACUAGCUAGCUCACUCAAAAUCAUAACAUAUAAAUAUGGAUAUACAAGCAUAAAAAGUACCAAACAAACCAUUUUUCCACUUUAGUAUAGGUGAUAGAAAAAGACAUUAGACGCAAUAGAAACAGUACCGCAAGGGAACGCUGAAAGAGAAAUGAAACAACUCAGUAAAGCACAAUAAAGCAGAGUUUCCCCCUCGUACCUUUUGCAUCAUGUUUUAGCUAGAGCCCUUCAAGCAAAAAGAAUUAUAGUUUGRCAACCCGAAACUAAGGGAGCUACUCCAAGACAGCCUAAUAAAUAGGGCGAACCCGUCUCUGUGGCAAUAGAGUGGGAAGAGCUUUGAGUAGAGGUGACAGACCUAUCGAACUUAGUUAUAGCUGGUUACCUGAAAAUUGAAUAGAAGUUCAGCCUUUUAAAUUCUUCCCUCAGCUUGAUUAUUUUUCUAAAUGAGACAUCAAGAAAUUAAAAGAGUUAGUCAAAGGGGGUCCAGCCCCUUUGAAAAAAGAAACAACUUUUAUGGGUGGAUAAAGAUCAAAUUAACAAAGG
rnacentral:rRNA from 1 species